rnacentral:rRNA from 1 species
UACGUAGGCAGCAAGCGUUGUUCGGAGUUACUGGGCGUAAAGGGCGCGUAGGCGGUCAGCACAAGUCAGUUGUGAAAUCUCCGGGCUUAACCCGGAACGGUCAACUGAUACUGUGCGACUAGAGUGCGGAAGGGGCAACUGGAAUUCUCGGUGUAGCGGUGAAAUGCGUAGAUAUCGAGAGGAACACCUGCGGCGAAGGCGGGUUGCUGGGCCGACACGUGACGCUGAUGCGCGAAAGCCAGGGGAGCGAACGGG